ACAGAGGGUGCGAGCGUUAAUCGGAAUUACUGGGCGUAAAGCGCACGUAGGCGGCUUUGUAAGUCGGUUGUGAAAUCCCCGGGCUCAACCUGGGAACUGCAUCCGAAACUACAUUGCUAGAGUAUGGGAGAGGGAGGCGGAAUUUCCGGUGUAGCAGUGAAAUGCGUAGAUAUCGGAAGGAACAUCAGUGGCGAAGGCGGCCUCCUGGACCAAUACUGACGCUCAGGUGCGAAAGCGUGGGGAGCAAACAGGAUUAGAUACCCUGGUAGUCCACGCCCUAAACGAUGAGAACUGGAUGUCGGGAGGGUUUGCCUUCCGGUGUCGUAGCUAACGCGAUAAGUUCUCCGCCUGGGAAGUACGGCCGCAAGGUUG
rnacentral:rRNA from 1 species